rnacentral:rRNA from 1 species
AUUGAACGCUGGCGGCAGGCCUAACACAUGCAAGUCGAGCGGAAACGAGUUAUCUGAACCUUCGGGGAACGAUAACGGCGUCGAGCGGCGGACGGGUGAGUAAUGCCUAGGAAAUUGCCCUGAUGUGGGGGAUAACCAUUGGAAACGAUGGCUAAUACCGCAUGAUGCCUACGGGCCAAAGAGGGGGACCUUCGGGCCUCUCGCGUCAGGAUAUGCCUAGGUGGGAUUAGCUAGUUGGUGAGGUAAGGGCUCACCAAGGCGACGAUCCCUAGCUGGUCUGAGAGGAUGAUCAGCCACACUGGAACUGAGACACGGUCCAGACUCCUACGGGAGGCAGCAGUGGGGAAUAUUGCACAAUGGGCGCAAGCCUGAUGCAGCCAUGCCGCGUGUGUGAAGAAGGCCUUCGGGUUGUAAAGCACUUUCAGUCGUGAGGAAGGUAGUGUAGUUAAUAGCUGCAUUAUUUGACGUUAGCGACAGAAGAAGCACCGGCUAACUCCGUGCCAGCAGCCGCGGUAAUACGGAGGGUGCGAGCGUUAAUCGGAAUUACUGGGCGUAAAGCGCAUGCAGGUGGUUUGUUAAGUCAGAUGUGAAAGCCCGGGGCUCAACCUCGGAAUAGCAUUUGAAACUGGCAGACUAGAGUACUGUAGAGGGGGGUAGAAUUUCAGGUGUAGCGGUGAAAUGCGUAGAGAUCUGAAGGAAUACCGGUGGCGAAGGCGGCCCCCUGGACAGAUACUGACACUCAGAUGCGAAAGCGUGGGGAGCAAACAGGAUUAGAUACCCUGGUAGUCCACGCCGUAAACGAUGUCUACUUGGAGGUUGUGGCCUUGAGCCGUGGCUUUCGGAGCUAACGCGUUAAGUAGACCGCCUGGGGAGUACGGUCGCAAGAUUAAAACUCAAAUGAAUUGACGGGGGCCCGCACAAGCGGUGGAGCHUGUGGUUUAAUUCGAUGCAACGCGAAGAACCUUACCUACUCUUGACAUCAGAGAACUUUCCAGAGAUGGAUUGGUGCCUUCGGGAACUCUGAGACAGGUGCUGCAUGGCUGUCGUCAGCUCGUGUUGUGAAAUGUUGGGUUAAGUCCCGCAACGAGCGCAACCCUUAUCCUUGUUUGCCAGCGAGUAAUGUCGGGAACUCCAGGGAGACUGCCGGUGAUAAACCGGAGGAAGGUGGGGACGACGUCAAGUCAUCAUGGCCCUUACGAGUAGGGCUACACACGUGCUACAAUGGCGCAUACAGAGGGCGGCCAACUUGCGAAAGUGAGCGAAUCCCAAAAAGUGCGUCGUAGUCCGGAUUGGAGUCUGCAACUCGACUCCAUGAAGUCGGAAUCGCUAGUAAUCGUGGAUCAGAAUGCCACGGUGAAUACGUUCCCGGGCCUUGUACACACCGCCCGUCACACCAUGGGAGUGGGCUGCAAAAGAAGUAGGUAGUUUAACCUUCGGGGGGACGCUUACCACUUUGUGGUUCAUGACUGGGGUG